rnacentral:tRNA from 1 species
GGAGAGAUGGCCGAGUGGUUGAUAGCGUCGGUCUUGAAAACCGAUAUAGUUUCUAUAUACUAUCGAGGGUUCGAAUCCCUCUCUCUCCU